GACCGGAUCCGCAGCGGCAGCGGGAGAAGGAAGGAGAAGGAGGAGGAGCCGCUGGAGCUGGAGCCGCCGCUGCCAGAGCCGCCCUUUGGUACCCGCGGUGGGUCCCCGUCAAUGCCCCUUUCUCUCUCCUAUUGUCAAUAUCACCGGGCGGCUGAGUCCAUGGCACACGCGCAACCGAACCUUCUGGCCAGCAGCGCCCGCCUCCGGCGCCCACUCAUUGGAGGCUUCAAACGGGAAGCGAGGCCUCAUUGGCCCCCGUCCGCCUUCACUCCCCUGCCAGCAGGUUCGACUGAGAGCCGAUCAGGGAUUGGCGGCGGGGGGGCGGAGAAACCGGAGGGUGGGAAGAGACGAGGCCGAGGAUUGGGCUGAGGCGAGAAGGACCCGGAUGCAGCCGCGCUCGCCGGCCGCGCCGCCGCAGCUUCCGCCCGGCGGCUGGGUCGGCUGAAGAGGGGCGCGCCGCGGCCGCUAGGCCUCUGAGGAGCUCCUGCGAGAGCCGCGGGGCGUGCGAGCGACGCAUCCACGGGAUGGCCGGGCUUCCGCGCAGUGCGGCUCCGCUGGGCAGCGGCCGUCUUCCGCCCGAGGAUUCCGGGGGCGAGGGUCGGCUAGAGUAGGCUCUACACCCAGCAUGGAGCCCAACUCAGGUCCGGAACUCCCAACACGGAGAUUAAGCCCUGAACUAAGACCAAGAGUCUGAUGCUGAAUCGGCUGAGCCACAUAGGUGCCCCAUCCAUACAAAUUUUAAAGUUUCCAAAGUAACAACUGUGCAUCUUCUCCUCCAGUUAGCAAAGAAUCAUCCUGCGUAUUCCAAGAGAAAGAACGGACUGUAGCAGCAUGCCCUCCGUGAAGGCUGGUCACAUGGAUCAAUCCUGAUGUAGUGCAGCUCAUCAAGUGAAUAGUUCCUGUGUUUGUUCCUCCAACAACAAACAAUUUGUCCAUUUUUUCAUGAUAUAGGCCACCAAUUAAAUAUUCUAAAGUACCUUCUUUCACAUUAAUUACUUCUCUGACAUCCUGGAUGUUCAAACAUGUAAUUGGUUCAUCAGUAUCCAGAUGAUUAAGAUCCCACCAACAAAAUCCUUCAUCAUGUGUCAUGCAGUAAAUCUGUUUAUAAUCCUUUCCAGACCAACCAAUACAGCUUACCGAUGAAACUGAGUUACAGGUAGUAACCAGUGCAUCUUCUUCAUUGUCAACACUAAUAUCAAAUACAUUUACUAGGCCAUCAGUUGAACCUGAGACAACCAUGUUGGGAUUGUUGGGAUGGAAGCAUACUUGGGUGACAUCAUCACUAUGUGUCUCUGAAUAUGUUCCAAGUGGGUCUUUAGUAGUAGACAAAUCCUGAGAAUUAAUUCUUGCAUCCCAAAAUACCAACAAUGCAUCGUCAUCAACUUUUUCUGUACCAGCACAAAUAACAUGAUCAUUACAGUUGAUAUCAAAACUAAUAAAAAUAUUGGAAGGGUAACCCUUGAACAGCUGGAUAGGUUUUUCACUGGCUAAUCGAGCAUCCCAACAUUUUACGGUGCCAUCAGUACAUGAUGAAUAUAUACUGUCACAAGAAUUUGCAAAUUUGACUCCAUUAAGAAGUCCAGGAUAUACACUAAAUUCUCGUAGUAUGUAUAACCUUUCUUUGUCAUAUAUUCUGAUAGAUCCAUUAGAACAUAAAACAGCAACCAAAUUUUCUUUUUCUGCUUUUACAGUUUUUGAUGUGUCUAUGCCAAGCAGAUAAGUAGGCUCUUUACUUCCUGUGGAACGUUUAACAAUGUUCAGGUUAGCAAAACGUUCCUCAAUCUUCUCCAUGUCAGGAGGAGCAUCCAAGCGUAGUAAAAAUCUGUAAUAAAAAUACAAAAAUUAAAAUUAAAUGCAGAGCUUCUCUAACAUUACAAUUAAGUCAAGUACAUUCUCUGAGGACUGGCACAAAACAAUAGAGAUAAAAUCUAUUCUAAUAUUUUAAUUUUUCCCUGCCAUGAUAAAACUAAAACUUAGUUGCCUCCUUCAAAUUCAAUCACUCUUGAAUCCUGAAUCUACUGUAUAUAACUUAUGCCAGUAAGAGAAUUUUAUUUUUAUUAUUUUUAUUUUUUAAAGGU